CGUAUAUUAAAGUUGUUGCAGUUAAAAAGCUCGUAGUUGGAUUUGUGGAUGAUUUUGCGGUCCCAAUUUUUGGGUACUAUUGAAAUGGUCCAUCCUUGGGUGGAAUCUGUGUGGCAUUAGGUUGUCGUGCAGGGGAUGCCCAUCGUUUACUGUGAAAAAAUUAGAGUGUUCAAAGCAGGCUUAUGCCGCUGAAUAUAUUAGCAUGGAAUAAUGAGAUAGGACUUGGGUGCUAUUUUGUUGGUUUGCGCACCUUGGUAAUGAUUAAUAGGGACAGUUGGGGG
rnacentral:rRNA from 1 species